rnacentral:rRNA from 1 species
GACGAACGCUGGCGGCGUGCUUAACACAUGCAAGUCGAACGGAAAGGCCCUGCUUUUGUGGGGUGCUCGAGUGGCGAACGGGUGAGUAACACGUGAGUAACCUGCCCUUGACUUUGGGAUAACUUCAGGAAACUGGGGCUAAUACCGGAUAGGAGCUCCUGCUGCAUGGUGGGGGUUGGAAAGUUUCGGCGGUUGGGGAUGGACUCGCGGCUUAUCAGCUUGUUGGUGGGGUAGUGGCUUACCAAGGCUUUGACGGGUAGCCGGCCUGAGAGGGUGACCGGCCACAAUGGGACUGAGGUACGGCCCAGACUCCUACGGGAGGCAGCAGUGGGGAAUAUUGCACAAUGGGCGGAAGCCUGAUGCAGCAACGCCGCGUGCGGGAUGACGGCCUCCGGGUUGUAAACCGCUUUAGCCUGUGACGAAGCGUGAGUGACGGUAAUGGGUAAAGAAGCACCGGCUAACUACGUG